GAUGAACGCUGGCGGCGUGCCUAAUACAUGCAAGUCGAGCGAACAGACGAGGAGCUUGCUCCUCUGACGUUAGCGGCGGACGGGUGAGUAACACGUGGAUAACCUACCUAUAAGACUGGGAUAACUUCGGGAAACCGGAGCUAAUACCGGAUAAUAUAUUGAACCGCAUGGUUCAAUAGUGAAAGACGGUUUUGCUGUCACUUAUAGAUGGAUCCGCGCCGCAUUAGCUAGUUGGUAAGGUAACGGCUUACCAAGGCAACGAUGCGUAGCCGACCUGAGAGGGUGAUCGGCCACGCUGGAACUGAGACACGGUCCAGACUCCUACGGGAGGCAGCAGGAGGGAAUCUUCCGCAAUGGGCGAAAGCCUGACGGAGCAACGCCGCGUGAGUGAUGAAGGUCUUCGGAUCGUAAAACUCUGUUAUUAGGGAAGAACAAAUGUGUAAGUAACUAUGCACGUCUUGACGGUACCUAAUCAGAAAGCCACGGCUAACUACGU
rnacentral:rRNA from 1 species